rnacentral:misc_RNA from 1 species
AGAGAACAUAGGUAUAUCCUCCACCAUAUGGUGCUUAGGGGGUCGUUUCAGUGGACCUCCAACUAGUACUCGCAUAUUUUGAACUUCUGAUUGUUCCCCAUGAUCUGGUGAGUGAACAGGGGAUGAUGGAAAAGACUCCACGGAGGUUGAACACCAGCGCCCAUUUACUCGAGCUUCAACAAGUGUACACAGAUGUAACCCAAAACCAGAUAUGUCGACUUUAAAAGGAUCUGUAUUCUUCCCACUUGGAAUACCGCUCCAUCCAAGUGGAACAAGGGAAGUGGCAGUACGGAUGACAGGGGACUCCACAAUGUGCCCAAGAUCAACAGUUCCACCAACAGAAAUGCCUAACCAUUUCUGUAACUGUGGAAAUUGCUGCACUU